rnacentral:rRNA from 1 species
AACGAACGCUGGCGGCAUGCCUAACACAUGCAAGUCGAACGAGACCUUCGGGUCUAGUGGCGCACGGGUGCGUAACGCGUGGGAAUCUGCCCUUGGGUUCGGAAUAACAGUUGGAAACGACUGCUAAUACCGGAUGAUGACGUAAGUCCAAAGAUUUAUCGCCCAAGGAUGAGCCCGCGUAGGAUUAGCUAGUUGGUGAGGUAAAGGCUCACCAAGGCGACGAUCCUUAGCUGGUCUGAGAGGAUGAUCAGCCACACUGGGACUGAGGCACGGCCCAGACUCCUACGGGAGGCAGCAGUGGGGAAUAUUGGACAAUGGGCGAAAGCCUGAUCCAGCAAUGCCGCGUGAGUGAUGAAGGCCUUAGGGUUGUAAAGCUCUUUUACCCGGGAUGAUAAUGACAGUACCGGGAGAAUAAGCACCGGCUAACUCCGUG